rnacentral:rRNA from 1 species
CGGAUUGCAGGCUGCAACUCGCCUGCAUGAAGUCGGAAUUGCUGUAAUCGCAGAUCAGCAUGCUGCGGUGAAUACGUUCCCGGGUCCUUGUACACACCGCCCGUCACACCAUGGGAGUCGGAAAUGCCCGAAGUCUGUGACCCAACCUGAGAGGGAGGGAGCAGCCGAAGGCAGGUCUGAUGACUGGGGUGAAGUCGUAACAAGGUAGC